GUUACUGCUAUCGGAGUUCGAUUAAGCCAUGCGAGUCUAAAGGUUUCUUCGGAAACCUUGGCGGACUGCUCAGUAACACGUGGAUAACCUACCCUUGGGACUGGAAUAACCCCGGGAAACUGGGGAUAAUACCGGAUAGAUCAGGGAUGCUGGAAUGCGCCUUGAUCUAAAGCUCCGGCGCCCAAGGAUGGGUCUGCGGCCUAUCAGGUAGUAGUGGGUGUAAUGUACCUACUAGCCAACGACGGGUACGGGUUGUGAGAGCAAGAGCCCGGAGAUGGAUUCUGAGACACGAAUCCAGGCCCUACGGGGUGCAGCAGGCGCGAAACCUUUACAAUGUGCGAAAGCAUGAUAAGGGAACUCCGAGUGCCAGUAUCUAAUACUGGCUGUCCUUGUGCCUAAAACGCACAAGAUAGCAAGGGCCGGGUAAGACCGGUGCCAGCCGCCGCGGUAACACCGGCGGCCCGAGUGGUAGCCGCUAUUAUCGGGUCUAAAGGGUCCGUAGCCGGUUCGAUAAGUCCUCUGGGAAAUCUGGUUGCUUAACAAUCAGACUGCCAAGGGAUACUGUCGAACUUGAGACCGGGAGAGGUAAGAGGUACUUCAGGGGUAGGAGUGAAAUCUUGUAAUCCCUGGGGGACCAUCUGUGGCGAAGGCGUCUUACCAGAACGGGUCUGACGGUGAGGGACGAAAGCUGGGGGCGCAAACCGGAUUAGAUACCCGGGUAGUCCCAGCCGUAAACGAUGCUCGCUAUGUGUCAGGUACGGUGUGACCGUAUCUGGUGCCGUAGGGAAGCCGUGAAGCGAGCCACCUGGGAAGUACGGUCGCAAGACUGAAACUUAAAGGAAUUGGCGGGGGAGCACUACAACGGGUGGAGCCUGCGGUUUAAUUGGAUUCAACGCCGGA
rnacentral:rRNA from 1 species